UACAGAGGGUGCAAGCGUUAAUCGGAAUUACUGGGCGUAAAGCGUGCGUAGACGGUUAUGUAAGUCGGGUGUGAAAGCCCGGGCUCAACCUGGGAAUGCCAUUCGAGACUGCAUAGCUAGGGUGCGGAAGAGGGAAGCGGAAUUUCCGGUGUAGCGGUGAAAUGCGUAGAUAUCGGAAGGAACACCAGUGGCGAAAGCGGCUUCCGUGGUCCAG
rnacentral:rRNA from 1 species